UCGAGGGGCAGCGCGUUUGUAGCAAUACAGAUGGCGGCGACCGGCGCAAGGGUGCGUAACGCGUGAGCAACAUGCCCGCAACAGGGGGAUAACCGGUGGAAACGCCGACUAAUACCCCAUAAGGAUGUAGGACGGCAUCGUCCAGCAUCUAAACUUACGAGGGUUGCGGAUUGGCUCGCGAGACAUUAGGUAGACGGCGGGGUAACGGCCCACCGUGCCGACGAUGUCUAGGGGUUCUGAGAGGAAGGUCCCCCACACUGGAACUGAGACACGGUCCAGACUCCUACGGGAGGCAGCAGUGAGGAAUAUUGGACAAUGGCCGGAAGGCUGAUCCAGCCAUGCCGCGUGAAGGAAGAAGGUCCUAUGGAUUGUAAACUUCUUUUGUACGGGAGCAAUAAGGUAUACGAGUAUACUGAUGAGAGUACCGUACGAAUAAGCAUCGGCUAACUCCGUGCCAGCAGCCGCGGUAAUACGGAGGAUGCGAGCGUUAUCCGGAUUUAUUGGGUUUAAAGGGUGCGUAGGCGGCUGUUCAAGUCAGCGGUGAAAUGC
rnacentral:rRNA from 1 species